CGGAGGGUCAGUAACGUCGCCGUCGGCUCUGUUGAUGGCUCAAUCUUCAUAUGGGAAGUUGCAACUCAGAAAGUACAACAGAUCCUCAGAGAUAAUCACUCGAGUCCUGUGACCGCUGUUGCAUGGCAUCCGUAUGGCAACCUACUGGCCAGUGUGGGACCGUUCUAGGCGCACAGUAGUCUGGUCCGAGUAGAGGCUCACCGCACACAAUGGAUGACCGAGUAACCUGCAUCAGGAUAUGCGCCAACAGAAUUUUGCUAUGUCUGUAAACUUGUGAUAGAAUAAACUCAACAAUGGGUGACUUAUUGCAUUAUUUUCUGUAAAAGUAUAGAUUUACACAGUCAAUAUAGCUAGUCAGUUUUAGAUAUUUUGAAAGUAAAGAAAUUAUUUAAGAAAAGGAUUCGUGAUAACUAAAAAGUAUAAGAGAUUAUAAACUUAAAUAAAAACAUUAAAUCAAGUACAUUUUCAAAGUUUAAAAACAUAUAACAUUGACUUUUUAAGAGUUCCUGUAACAAAUAAUUGCCUGGGGAAAAAGUUAAAAUUAUCUUUAUAUUUGGAAAUGCUAGAUUAUUUGCUUUAGAAACAUGUACACAUUAUAAUAUUUCAAUCAGAUAAAAUAUAUAAGGCAAUUACAAUAUGCUGCAUUGCAAAUGGCUAGAGCUAACUUUUAGAUGUUUAUAUAUAUACAUAAAAUUUGCUAUUUUUAUACAAAUACAACAUUGCCAUUACAAUUAUAUUUUAUUUUAAUGAGCUUCUUAAUAUUUUUUUAAAAUCAGUAAUAGCUAAUAUUUUGUAUGGCUAAUGGAGAGAGCUCUGUAUAUUUAUUUUUUAAUAAUAUUAACUUUAACUUUUAAUAAGAAUAAUGUGAUUUAACUAUUAAGUGUAAGAGUUUUAACAUUAACAUCAUUAAUUAACGUUUUAGUCUAUAAUACUCAAUUAUUUGUUAUGUAUAUUUUAUGUUAAGUUCCGCCGUGUAGCAUGUGUUCCGGAUAUUGUGUAUAAGAAUGUAUGAUUUUUUUAGGUCAUGAUUAUUUUAAUACUAUAUAAGUGUUCCGUAAUAUAUUGUACAAUGUUGUAUAUAAGUUGUUUUGUAUAACAUGUAAUAAUUAAGCAAAUGUUUUCUGAUUUUAUAGACACAAUAAAUUUGUUUUUAAGAACAACAAGUUUUUCAGCUGUGA